rnacentral:rRNA from 1 species
AGAGUUUGAUCCUGGCUCAGAAUGAACGCUGGCGGCGUGCUUAACACAUGCAAGUCGGAUGUGCCGCAAGGUGCAUGGCAGACGGGUGAGUAACGCGUAGGGAACCUACCUCUUUGUGGGGAAUAACGUUCCGAAAGGAAUGGUAAUACCGCAUGAGAUCCACGACUGGGAUGUUGUGGAUGAAAGCCGGGGAUCGAAAGACCUGGCGCAAGGAGAGGGUCCUGCGUCUGAUUAGCUAGUUGGUGGGGUAACGGCCUACCAAGGCGACGAUCAGUAGCCGGCCUGAGAGGGUGAUCGGCCACACUGGAACUGAGACACGGUCCAGACUCCUACGGGAGGCAGCAGUGGGGAAUUUUGCGCAAUGGACGAAAGUCUGACGCAGCAACGCCGCGUGGGUGAUGAAGGUCUUCGGAUUGUAAAACCCUGUCGUCAGGGACGAAGGUUGGGAUCCUAAUACGAUUUCAGCUUGACGGUACCUGGAGAGGAAGCCCCGGCUAACUCUGUGCCAGCAGCCGCGGUAAUACAGAGGGGGCAAGCGUUAUUCGGAAUUAUUGGGCGUAAAGGGCGCGUAGGCGGUUUUGUAAGUAGGAUGUGUAAUCCCCGAGCUCAACUUGGGAACUGCAUCCUAGACUGCAAGGCUAGAGUACUGGAGAGGGUGGUAGAAUUCCACGUGUAGCGGUGAAAUGCGUAGAGAUGUGGAGGAAUACCAGUGGCGAAGGCGGCCACCUGGACAGUAACUGACGCUGAGGCGCGAAAGUGUGGGGAGCAAACAGGAUUAGAUACCCUGGUAGUCC